GCCAGGCACGGUGGCACGUGCCUGUAGUCCCAGCUACUAGGGGGGUGGGAGGCCUGAGAUGGGAGGAUCGCUUGAGGCCAGGACUUCUGGGCUGUAGUGCACCAUGCCAAUAGAGUGUCCACACUAAGUUCAGCAUCCAUGUGACCUCCCAGCAGGACCACCACAUUGCCUAAGGACGAGUGAAACCACCCGGGCCGGGAAUUGAGCAGGUUCAAACUCCCAUGCUGAUCAGUAAUGGGAUCACGCCUGUGAAUAGCCACUGCACUCCAGCUUGGGCAACAUAGUGAGACCCCGUCUCU
rnacentral:SRP_RNA from 1 species